rnacentral:lncRNA from 1 species
GUUAGAGAUAUAUGCUUGCAUUCCUAUGCAUAUGGAGGACACGGUAUGUGUUGCGUCAGCAGUUUCUCAAGUCCCUUGUAUCAUCUAGGUGACCUAUCUAAAUAAUCUUUGGGGCCGUGAAAUGCUGUGUAGUAUUGUACUGAGCGUACGCUCAAUAUUAAACAAUAAAUUAAAAUAAGUCCUGUGUGUGAUAAUAAUUCACUCAGAUAAACCCAUGCAUUAUGAGGUUCUUGGCCAAUUACAGUAUUUACUGUCCUUUGCCUCUACAUCGUCAUAUUCCUUUUUUACAUUGAGAAUAAUUAUAAUUACUUCAAAACAAGAAAUAAAUUUAUCUUUGAUUGGUCACCACCCCAAGAAACAGGUAAGGGCCAAUCGACAUAUUAAAUCGAUGGCCCCAGUGCCAAUACUUAUGAUAUAUGUUUCGGAAAAUAUUCAAUAUGCAGUGAAGUUCAAGAAUUUUGAUGACUCAUCAGCUAAAUCAAACUUUAUGCCACCAAUCACUACUCGAGGCCGUGGCUUUGCCGAUGUUUUUACACUCGGUAAAGAGGCCUUUGCACUUAGCAAAGACUUUGCCGAGUAUAGUACUCGGCAAAGUCCGCUCAGCAAAUAUUCUCACGACAAAGGGACUUUGUCGAAUGCUUAUCCUGACACUCGGCAAAAUAAAAAAAAAAUUACCGAGUGGUUUGGGCGGCACUCAGUAAUUAAAAUAUUUCUGGCCGUUACGACGCCUGCCAUUAACGAUUAUUUUGUCGAGUGCUAGCCAACACUCGGCAAUUUAUUUAUUUUUUAAAACACCUUUGUCGAGUGUCCCAGCAUUAGCCACUCAGCAAAGUUGUUUUUCUAUUUAUUUUUUUUAAAAAAUUGCCGAGUGCUCCUGCGAAGGCACUCGGCAAAAACCAUGAGAAUUGCAUUUUUUUAUAUUUUUUACAUUCUAUUGAAACAGACUAUAUAUAUACAUAUAUAUAUAAACACACAUCAAUCAUCACAAUUAUAUCACCAACAUACAUUAUAUACCACAAACACACGCAUAUUUCAUAAAUCUAUCGGAAAUCCAUCAUAAAUACACAGAAGAUCAACAUCACAAGUUUAGUAUUACAAGUUCAACAUCACAAAGUUCAACAUCACUACUACGGCGGUGGAGACUGCAGGUGUGGCCACCCGGACUACGGUGAAGGACCGGACUGUGCCGAAGGGUUGGCGCGAUCAGCCGUCGGUGACACGGUGGCAGAAUUGUUUGAACCACCAACGGAGGCUGCACAAAAGAGAAGAGAUUGCAUGUGUUGGGCUCAAAAUUGAAAAUUUUGGUAGUACCUCCUAUGCACGUGGAGGUUUCCAACAUGCAAGAAACAACAACAUGAUGGCCGACAAUCCCAACGGCACGAAGGUCGACAAUCCCAAUGGCAGGAAGGCCGAAAAUCACAACGGCACGAAGACAGACAAUCCCAACGGUAAGAACGCAUUAAAACUUUCAUACUCGAUCACAGGAGUGAAGUGUCGAACCAGAGCAUAAUGUGUGUCGUCGGUAGCAUGCCGCUCCACAGGGCCACCAUCUUGUCGAAGCCUUCUCGACUUAGAUUUAACUCGGCCUUCAACCAAUGGUAUCUAGCUGAGAAACAUUAGUACCAUCGUGAAGGGGUCUUUGUGCCGAGUCUAGCAUUAGGUAGAAGGCAUCUACGACAGCCUCUAUCUCCGCCUUAUCAUGUCCUUUAGCGAACUGAGCUUGGUGAGUGUCAUCCAGCAUGUCUGCUACACCGGCAUCAUCAUCAAAAGCCUCGAGUCGUGGUCUCACCACCUCCUCCCUAGUACGAUCGGCUUCAUGUGGAUCCACCGGUGGUAGCCCGAAGUAAAUCCAAACUUUACAAUAUGUUGACCCAUGGUUAGCCUAUCUUUCCUUUUUCUGCUGUCACAACCGGUGCAGGGACACACAACUAGAGAAUGGCCUCCAGCACUCUCACCAAAUGCAUGCUUUCAGAAUUCUUUGACCUUGAUUAUAAAUAGCCACUCGUAAUCCUUCGCGUCCCUCUAGAGCAUGUACAUCCACUCACGGUCCUCCAUCCUUUAACAGACGUAUCAGCACAUAUGAGUGACCAUCAAUUGCAUCUACGUGGUGUCCCUACACUCUAAUAGGUGAGGAUAGGUUCUAAUCCCACCCGUGGAUCCAUAGAUGAUGUUAGUUUCCAUGCUCUGCUCCUAUAUCCGAGAUGGAAUUUUGGUAGCAUCUCCCUGUUGUUCUCCCAAUACACGUCCUACAAGGGAGAGUGUGUGUAUCCAGAGAACAACAGGAGGUGAUGUCGAAACACCGUCUCAGACUAGAGCAGACCAUGAAAACUGACCCAUUUACGCAUCCAUGGGCUGUCCAAGAAAUGGGACANNNNNNNNNNNNNNNNNNNNNNNNNNNNNNNNNNNNNNNNNNNNNNNNNNNNNNNNNNNNNNNNNNNNNNNNNNNNNNNNNNNNNNNNNNNNNNNNNNNNUGCCACCUACGACCGUAUAUCUUUCGAACAGGAGACACCUAAUUGGGUAACACAUGGACUACGACAAACAUAAAGGAUUCUAGGUGAUCUAUACUUGGGGUGUUGGUGGAGUCAGGCUAGCGGGGCAGUGGUGAGUCGACGGAGUGGAGAGGUGACGCAGUGCAGGCAGACCCACGCCGCCGACGAAGACGAUCAGGGUCCAUCGUGUCACCUGCAACGGGCUCUUGUCCUGCAUAAAAAUCCAGAAGUUUAGUGUUUGUUCAAAAUUUUAGCAUCACCUCCCCUGCACGGAGAGGUUUCCAAAACCUACAAGAAAUGAAGGCAUGAUGGCCAAAGAUCAUAAAGGCACGGAGGCUAGCAACCACAACAGCAUGAAGGCCAAGUUCACAAUGGCACAAAGGCCGAGUAUCGCAAGGGCACGAUGGCCAACAUUCAGAAUGGGAGUGUGCAUAUACCUUGGCGAGACAUGCACGGGGAGAAGAAUAUGCCAAGAAUGGGAUAGGACGUGCUGAUGGAGGCACCUCCUCCUCUUCUCCUCCUUGGCCUCCUACUCACCUUCCUCGCCUUGCCGACCUCCUCCUUCUUCCUCCUCCUCCUCCCACUUCUCCCCUUCCUCCUCCUCCUCCUUCUCCUCGUCCUCCUUCUCUUCCCCUUUCUCCUUCUUCCUCCUCCUUCUUUUUCCUUCUUCUUCUUCUUCCUCCUCCUUCUUCCACCUACCUCCACUUCCACUUAGCUCCUUGCCGGUGGCCGGGGAAGCCCAUCGGCGUCACCAUGGGCUAGCCCAUGCAGUGGGGAAGGUAGGGGACCUCGCUAGCCAGGGUGGCAGGGGAGGGGGUAAAGGGAGUACGCACUAGGAUGGGAGGGUGCAGAAACGGUGGAGCUCGGGGGCGCAGGGAACACAGCAAGGGGCACGGUGGAGGGAGCUCGGGGUGCAGGGGAGGGAGCUGAGGCGCGGUUGCGUGCCGAGGGAGAGGUUUGGGGUCGCAAGGAGUGCCGCGGUCGCAGGGAAGGGGCGAGGGCUUCGCCGGCAUAGCGGUGCAACAUGGGGUGUCAGGCCGGCCGGAUCUGCAGACACGGGGCGUCGCCGGUGCUGGGACGGGCCUAGCGUGGGGCAGAAGCUGCUCACCGGGGGCAGGCUCGCCGAAGGCAAGGGCGGCGGCGGUAGAACCGGCGCUGCGGCGGGUAGCGAGGGAGUCGGGCGCGUAGGUGGGAAUGAGGCUUGGGUUGGGGUGGGUUGGCGGGAGCAUGGAUUUCUUUGACUGAAUGCCUUGCUUCUUAACGACAUGCAACAGAGCAUACCUCUCUUUGUCGGUUGCCAGCUUAGGAAGAGCCAUGGGAACCUAUCUGCAACCCGACCCCAAGGGAUAAUGGCUAGAUUUGUUAGCCCAAACUAGUGCUUGCACUAUAGAUACGAAUACAUUCCCUGGCAAACUGAGGGCUAUUCAAAUACUUACUUUCGGACUGCUACCCUGUUGGAAUAAUUUUUUAAUUUUUUAAUAUUUUGCCGAGUGCCCCCUGACCCUGGGGUUACCGAUGGGACUAUGUCAGCUGAAAGAAUAUCAGAAGUAAUUAUAAGACAGGUGAAAGGUCCUAAUAUGGCUAGAGGGGGGUGAAUAGCCUAUUUAAAAAUUCUACAAACUCACUAGAGCAAGAGGUUAGUAAAUAACAAAGCGAAGCUUUUUGCUCUAGCUCUAAAGGGGGAUUUGCAAGCCACCUAUCCAACAAAUCUAGUUGAUAUAAUUACUAGGCACACAAGAGCUAUGUCACUACUUACACUAGAAAGCUACCUAAAAUUUCUAUACAAGUAAGUAAGCUACUCUAGUUUGCGGGAAUGUAAAAGAGAUGGUUUGAGCUUUAUACCGCCGCGUAGAGGGGAUGAACCAAUCAAUAAUAUGAAGUCCAAUCACCGGGAGAAAUCCAAUGAACAAUCACAAUGGAGACACACAAUUUUUCUCCCGAGGUUCACGUGCUUGCCGGCACGCUACGUCCCCGUUGUGUCGACCAACACUUGGUGGUUCGGUGGCUAAGAGGUGUAGCACGAACCUCGUCCUCACUAGGACACCACAAGAACCUCUCACAAUCACCGGGAGAUGGCCACGAACAAUCACCAACUCGUGCCAAUCCUCCUCCGCUGCUCCAAGCCGUCUAGGUGGUGGCAACCACCAAGAGUAACAAGAAAACCGCAGCUAGAACGAUCCCCAAGUGCCACUAGAUGCAAUCACUCAAGCAAAUGCACUUGGAAUCACUCCCAAUCUCACAAAGAUGUUUAAUCUACGAAGGAGAUGAGUGGGAGGUGUAUGCUUAGGCUCACAAGGAUGUCAAGUAUGUUAGAAUGCCAAGAGUAUGAGCCCCAAGCCGGCCAAACACGUAUUUAUAGCCCCUCAAGCAAAUAGAGCCGUUGGCUCUUUCACUGGGCGAAAUACGGGGUCACCGGACGCUCUUAAAGGGGCACCGGACGCUCAACACUAGUGUCCGGUGCUGCAACGUCAGCCGCGUGUCAGAGUCUAACGGUAACCUGCAGAGCACCGGACGCGUCCGGUGCACACCGGACUCAUGCGCAGAGAGCUCCGCAAACUCGCAGGGUCACCGGACGCAAGCCACCGGACGCACCCUGAGCGUCCGGUGCUCACUGGACUCACACCCAGAGAGGGUUGCAAAACGCGCGGACACCGGACUCAGACCACCGGACGCUCCAGCUUGCGUCCGGUGCCUGACGUCCGGUGCCUAACUCUAGCUGAGCCAGGCAGCCUGCUCACCGGACGCUCAGACACAGCGUCCGGUGCCUCUGAGCCAGCGUCCGGUGAGUGUUUUCUCAGCGAGAAACACUCCCGCGACUUCACCAAUUUUCCCACCGGCGCAAUAGAAAAUGUGCACUUCAUUUUCUCGAAAAGCGCCGAAUCCCGCAUCGCAAGCUCGGCGGGAGGGAGAGAGGAACCCAUCCUCUCUCUACUCUUCAAACUCCACCUCCUUCUCAAAGUGUGCCAACACCACAACGUGUGUACCAACAAGUGCACGUGUGUUAGCAUUUUCACAAACAUUUUCUUCGAAGGAGUUAAGUUAGCUUACUAGGUUCUAAAUGCAUGCACAUGAUUAAUGACACCUAGUGGCACUUGAUAACCACUUAGCCAAAGAAUUCCCCUCUUUAUAGUACGGCUAUCUAUCCUAAAUGUGAUCACACCCUCUUUGGUGUCUUGAUCACCAAAACCAAAACCCUAAGCAAUACCUUUGCCUUGAUCUCCAUAGGGUUUUGUUUUUCUCUUUCUUCUUUUCCAAGUUGAGCACUUGAUCAUCUUGUGGUCAUCACCAUCAUCACCAUGAUCAUCACUUGCUCCAUCACUUGGCAUGUACCAACCUCAUUAAGUCUACACACACUUAGUAUAGAGGUUAGUACUAGGGUUUCAUCAAUUAUCCAAAACCAAACUAGGGCUUUCAACAGGGAACAUAAGUUCAUCGGCAAUGGUUUUAUAAAGGGUAUAUUACCUUGAGGAGGAGCAGCACUUGUUUGGAUGGAGGAAACUACCGAUGCUAUGAUUGAACCUGCUGGAUCAGCAGUUUGCUAGGGUAUGUCAGCCGAUAUAUCUUCUGGCUGAGGUCCCUCUGGUUGGAAUUCUUCUACAUGAGCUUCUUCCUGCGGCUGAGGAGGAGAUGGUGCCUGUUGCAUCUGGACUUCUGGAGAGGAGGGAGAAGAUUCUACUGGAAUUGGAGACACUGGGGGAGGAGGAGGUGUUGCUGUCUUCUGAUGCUUCACUUGUGAUCUGGUGCUCUUGGAGCCUUUCCUCUUUGCCUGGCUGGACUGGGGGGCAUCGACACCUGUGCUUUUGGUCCUUACCGAUGCACCAGUGUGCUUUACCAAGGAUGAGAAUUCGUGAGUACAAGCGUAUUGGCUGGAAGAAUGAAAUCGGUAAAGAAAUUUGAAGAUUUACCUUAAAGGCUUGCGCCAAAGCAGAGGCGGCUACCGAUGGAGAUGUCUUUGAACGCUUGGUGGUGACCUUCUUGAGGCGUACACCUCGGUGCAUUAUGGCAGCCAAGGUGGGAGCAUUGUCGCCGAUUGAGGAGAUCGGGCCUGAUGGAAAAAGAUCAAUCGGCUUGCCACUCCUGCUGACCGAUGGGGGAACGUUAUCAACCUGCAAUAUAAUACAGAAAGUGAGAUACCGAUGGAAAUAAAAUUGAAAUAAUUGAGACAUCGGUUAGGAAAUACUUACAGUGUUAUCGGGAACUUUGUACUGGGGAUCGAUCAUGCCGCGAUACGUAAGAGCCGAUUUGCAGAACAAAUGCUCCUCCCAUUCCUCCCACCAUUGUUUGUACGCCUGAGUAAUGAAGAGGACCGGGAUCCACUCUGAUAGAUCUGCAUCUGUAUCGGCAUUCGGUGACAGCUGGGCUACUCGGAUCCACUCGAGAAGGUUAGUGAUGGCUUCUGUGGGUUUAUUACAUCGGCAUAACAGAGUGCAAUCGGCAGUUGGCCGAAAGCUAGUUGAUGGGCUAGUGCCGAUGGGUUAUAAAACUCAUAGGUUUGGUUGGAGGUUUUCCCACUACCGAAGAAGUUUACUGGAAUAGCUCUGGGAGUGAUCAGUGCCAUCAUCACUUCGUGGUCCUUGUUGAGAGCAUUGUUGAACGGAUGGAAGACCAAAGGAAACAAGGUGUCUGGAUCUUCAUAAGGCAUCCAUGCUCGCUGUUCUCUGGUCAGGCCUUCAUACAGGGUUUGGAAGAAUCGGCUGACCUGGUUUGCAUUGCUCCCUGUACCGGGCAGAACUAUGACAGCCUCGCCAAAGUUUAGAGGAGGGCGAGUUGCCGAUUCUUCUUCAUCCAGUUCAUAAUCCUCGGUUAUAUCCCUAGGGAAGCGCUGUGCGAAGAGGUCAAACUCAAGACGCUUGUGCAUGUGGAGACUAAGCCACAUAUUGAUAAACCACCAGGGACCCCCCAAGUUGCCGAUGGACUGGCCGAGCAGGAGUUUCCUGGUUACUUGAUGAAGGAGGUGGUAAGCCGCGCCAAGCAGGUAUCGGCCAAGGGGAAAUCGGCCACCAUUGGCUAAUCUUUCUGCUGCUGCUAAGUAGACGGAAGUUGGUCCUGCCGAUCGACCACAAAAUACGAAUUUGUCCAACCACAUGUUCAGGAAGCUGGUCUGUUCCUUUAUGUUGACAGGGCCUGUUCGUUUGUAUUUUUGGAUAUACCCUGACCAACCGCCGAUGGAACGAGUUUCUACCUUAGCACUGGGUUUGGUAUUGAAAAAGUGGGUGCUAUCGACAGAAGAUACAUCUAGGCCGGUGAGCAUAACCACAUCGGCAAGUGUAGGGGAAGCAGGGCUGUGGCCAAAGACAAAGGCAUUGAGUGUGUCUGACCAGAAAUAUGAUGCAGCUAUCAGCAGUAACUCAUUCCUAUGCAUAUCGGCAAUGGACAACCUGAUGCAUUGGUCCAGUUUUAUCUCACCCCACUGGCUGACUCUCAAAAUCCAAUCCUUCCAUCCCAUGGUAGGACUGGGCCAGGAACGGAAGGUAUCCUUCCACAGAUCCAGAGAGAAAUUCUCGGCUCUAAAGGGAAUUCUGUUUGUUUCUGCGUUAAUAAGAUCGGUGGGAUCUGGAUCUCCUAACGGACCAAGACAUUGGAGGUGUGGCUGAUCGGUAGGGAUGACAAUUUUAUUGGACAGGUCCUAAUGGUUUUGAAGAUAAAAAGAAGAAUAAAUAAAGAAAAAGAAAAAAUGUUCAGUAAAAUAAAUGGCGGAUGAACAGGGAUACAGUAAAGGUACAAGAGGUAGGAUGAUGAACUGACCUCGAGAACAACGAAGUUGAUGGCCAUCUCCUUGCGAAAAGGAUGAUCAAAGACUUUGACGUUGAUGAAGAGAGGGCUUCGUUGGAGUUCUUGGAGCUCUCGGACAGCGCCGCCGCCGGGGAAGUGGAGUUGGGGCUGUAGAAUGAUGUGAUGGGGAAGGAGUACCCGAGAAGGAACUAUUUAUAGGACAAAACGGGCAGGGGCAAAUCUGACUUAUCUCUUCGCCGUAUCCGUGAAAUCCGAGGGUACUCAGGUAGAUAUGGUAACUGUUCGCACGGUAAUCAAGGGAUUGUGCAGGUGAUUUGACAGGAAGCGGUCGUAAUCUGGAGAUAUUUCACUAUGCGGAAUUUCCUGGUCGGUCCAUCGGCAGCACCUUGUAACGGUAACAUUGCCGAUGGGCGAAUAAGGUGGGGAUGUCCGUUUGGAAGGAUAAGAUGCUUCACUAUGCGGGAUGUCCUGGUCAGUCCAUCGGCAGUACCUUGUAACGGUAAUGUUGCCGAUGGACGGUUAAAGUGGAGAUGUCCGUUUGGAAAGUUGAGGAAUUCGAGAAAUCUACGGAAGAAUCGGACCAAGUUGUUCAGAUUUGGGCUGUCGGUUACUAAAUUGGGGGAAUUAAUUGCAGAGAGGCAUCAUUACUGCAGAGAAUUUCAGAGCAUUAAUGAUUUUAUACUCCGAAAUUGGGGGGCAUGUGUUGACACCGUUUUUGGACACGUGCCCAGGAUCGGUAGAGUGUAGAUCGGUAAGAUAGUGCAACAGUGAAUGGUCUGCAGGGGAGUUACCGACGAGGAUGGUUGCCGAUGAAGAGGUAGCUGAAUGUGGCUGAGUCCUUGGGUGAUGAUGCGUUUAUACCGAUGGCCAAGCGUUGGCUCCUGCCGAUGGAUACAAUGAGGAGUCUGCCGAUGAUUCUGAAGGAGGGCCUGAAGGAUGCUGAUUGGUCACGCGAGGAUAUCUUAGUUAUUUAAAUCGUUUUGUGUACGGAUUCUGUCUAAUUUAGAAUUCGAGUCCUAGUCGUGUCUGAUUGUAGCUCUUUGAGCAGAGUAUAAAUGUAGACCCUAGGGCUUUAUAAUGAAGGACAUCUACCAAUCAAUUAAACACAAGUUUUACUCAUAUUCCAGCAUCUACUUUUUCGACGACUUUGUCAUAUUUUCCUUUUUUUCAUUAUGAGUUCUUAGGAGUUCAUCGACUUAAGCUCGGCGUAUUCUCAAGUUCCGCGUGAAUACCUCUUGGCCGCGGCAUCCGGGCGCAUCGCUGUUGUCGGGACCAAAGUAUUCGAGUUAUCACCUUUGCCGAUAGUAAGGUCAAAUCGGCUGGCACGCCUUAACGUUUAAAUCGGGUAUUAGCCCUUUGUAUUUGCAGAUCAGCUUUUGCAGCAACAUAUAUUUCAUGGGCACAAAAAUACACAAUUAAAAACAUUUCUCCUAUUUUGGAAACUUGCAAAUUUUAGGGUGUUACAAGAAUAAUAUACUAAAAAACAAUACUAGAAUAAUAGUACAAACAAUAAUAUAUACAAAACACUACUAAAAUAAAUUUGGUGGGUAAACACUACUAGAAUAUAUAUUAGAGACUUAUAUACUACUACUAGUACUACUACAAAUGAAAGUGUUGGAGUGCUCUAAAAAUAAUACUAGAAUCUUUUAAGCCAAGUAAUACACUAGAAUAAUAUACUAAAAAACAAUACUAGAAUAAUAGUACAAACAAUAAUAUAUACAAAACACUAGAAAAUAAAAUAUGAUACAAGAAUAAGACAAAAAUAAUAUACUACAAAUAUAUACUAAAAAAUACUACUACAAAUAAUAUACUAAAAAAAUAAUACUACAAAAUAAUACAAGAAUAAAAUUAAUAUAUUACAAAUAUAUAUUAGCAUAAUAUAAUUUAUAAUAGGUCAACCCUACACUUAUACUAAUAUACUAAAAACUAAUAUAUAUAUAUAUAUAAUAUACUAAAAACUAAUAUACAUUCAUUCUGUAGAUUUUAUAUAUAUAUAUAUAUAUAUAUAUAUAUAUAUAUAUAUAUAUAUAUAUAUAUAUAUAUAUAUAUAUAUAUAUAUAUAUAUAUAUAUAUAUAUAUAUAUAUAUAUAUAUAUAUAUAUAUAUAUAUAUAUAUAAAUAUAUAUAUAUAUAUAUAUAUAUAUAUAUAUAUAUAUAUAUAUAUAUAGAUGUAUAUAGAUCGACAGAGAUAUAGCGGUGGAGCUGAUGGGUACAUGUGUAUGUGUAUAUAGCUGGAGAGAAGGAGCGCGAUAGCGCGGCUCUAGGGCUCUUAUUGUAUAUGUGGGGCCGGACGCAUACGCACGCACGCACGUGCGCAAGCGCGGGCGCGGAUGUAUAUGAGCGCGUGGGAACACAUAUCCACGAACACGAGAGCACGCGCUCAGAGUGACUGAGACAACGGCUGAGAGAGACGCGGNNNNNNNNNNNNNNNNNNNNNNNNNNNNNNNNNNNNNNNNNNNNNNNNNNNNNNNNNNNNNNNNNNNNNNNNNNNNNNNNNNNNNNNNNNNNNNNNNNNNNNNNNNNNNNNNNNNNNNNNNNNNNNNNNNNNNNNNNNNNNNNNNNNNNNNNNNNNNNNNNNNNNNNNNNNNNNNNNNNNNNNNNNNNNNNNNNNNNNNNNNNNNNNNNNNNNNNNNNNNNNNNNNNNNNNNNNNNNNNNNNNNNNNNNNNNNNNNNNNNNNNNNNNNNNNNNNNNNNNNNNNNNNNNNNNNNNNNNNNNNNNNNNNNNNNNNNNNNNNNNNNNNNNNNNNNNNNNNNNNNNNNNNNNNNNNNNNNNNNNNNNNNNNNNNNNNNNNNNNNNNNNNNNNNNNNNNNNNNNNNNNNNNNNNNNNNNNNNNNNNNNNNNNNNNNNNNNNNNNNNNNNNNNNNNNNNNNNNNNNNNNNNNNNNNNNNNNNNNNNNNNNNNNNNNNNNNNNNNNNNNNNNNNNNNNNNNNNNNNNNNNNNNNNNNNNNNNNNNNNNNNNNNNNNNNNNNNNNNNNNNNNNNNNNNNNNNNNNNNNNNNNNNNNNNNNNNNNNNNNNNNNNNNNNNNNNNNNNNNNNNNNNNNNNNNNNNNNNNNNNNNNNNNNNNNNNNNNNNNNNNNNNNNNNNNNNNNNNNNNNNNNNNNNNNNNNNNNNNNNNNNNNNNNNNNNNNNNNNNNNNNNNNNNNNNNNNNNNNNNNNNNNNNNNNNNNNNNNNNNNNNNNNNNNNNNNNNNNNNNNNNNNNNNNNNNNNNNNNNNNNNNNNNNNNNNNNNNNNNNNNNNNNNNNNNNNNNNNNNNNNNNNNNNNNNNNNNNNNNNNNNNNNNNNNNNNNNNNNNNNNNNNNNNNNNNNNNNNNNNNNNNNNNNNNNNNNNNNNNNNNNNNNNNNNNNNNNNNNNNNNNNNNNNNNNNNNNNNNNNNNNNNNNNNNNNNNNNNNNNNNNNCUAGGCGGGCUUGGGCGGGGUCCUGAAAAUUUUCAGGACCCUUUACACCGGUUCCCACUAUGGGCCGGUGCUAGGCCCUGUUUUUUACUUUUGGGUUUUUCAAUUGUUUAUAUAUACAGUUUAUAUUAUAAAUUGUAUAGUAAAUUAAAUAUUUUGCAUAAUAUUUUUUAAACAGUGACAUAUAUUGUAAUUUUUUUUAAUGUACACAUGAAAAUUUUUAACCUUAAAUAUCUUACUAUAUUUUAAUAAUUUGCAAUGUUUUUUAAGAAAUGUUUAGUAUUUUGUUAAUGAAAAAAUAUAUUAUUCCAAUAAAUUUACAAAAACUAUAUCCAAUCAACUGGAAAUCUAUUUUCACAUCAUAUUGACGUUAAGCUUUUUAUUUUUGUUAUUUAUUACUCGGAAUGCUAGUAGGGCAUUGUUUUCAUCAAAUAAAAAAUCUAUUUAUCAUAUAAAAAUAUAUAUCUUGAUGAACACACCCUUUGACCGAACCCUAGAUUGUCCCAAAUGGAAAAGUCAUGAAUACAAAGUUUGUUACACUCAUCAAGUUCUACAUUUUGUCUAAUGGUCAACUUUUCUUUUGGAAAAGUUUGAACCACUGAAUUUUAAAUUUUCAGAAAAUUCAUAGCCACGCAGCGGUUUCAGAACCCUAGAUGGUCUCGAAUGCAAAAGUUAUGAAUACCAGUAUUGUUCCACUCAUCAAAUCUACAUUUCAUAUAUAGACCAUUUUUGCAUUUGACAAAGUUUUGGGAAGGUGUAGUGAAAAUCCACAAUUGACGCAUAUAGUUUCAUAUAGUUUGUGUGAGAUUCAAGAAUUGGUGGGUAUUGUUAACUUAAACUUUCUCAAAUAGAAAAGUUGUGUAUAUAAAAAGUUUAGAUCUUGAUGAUAUCUAACAACUUGGUAUUAAAAAUUUUUUCAUUUUAAGUAAUUUAGUUUGUCAUUUGACCAAGUUUGACUAAAACCCGUCUUGGAUUUUAUAGAAAUGUGAUUAGGAUUGGCUCAAAAUUAUCCAAAUGGAAAAAUGGACAAUAUAUAAAAAUGUAGAUCUUCAUGAUCUCUAACAACUUUGUAUUCAAAAUUUUUUCAUUUGAAGUCAUCAAAUGGGCCAUUUGAUCAAGUUUGACCAAAGUCAAAGCAUUGGUUUUUACAAAAACACCCUUUGACCGAACCCUAUAUUGUCCCAAAUGGAAAAGUCAUGAAUACAAAGUUUGUUACACUCAUCAAGUUCUACAUUUCGUCUAAUGGUCAACUUUUCUUUUGGAAAAGUUUGAACCACUGAAUUUUAAAUUUUCAAAGAAUUCAUAGCCACACAGCAGUUUCGGAACCCUAGAUGGUCUCGAAUGGAAAAGUCAUGAACACCAAUAUUGUUCCACUCAUCAAAAUCUACAUUUCAUAUAUAGACCAUUUUUGCAUUUGACAAAGUUUUGAGAAGGUGUAGUUGAAAAUCCACAAUUGACACAUAUAGUUUCAUAUAGUUUGUGUGAGAUUCAAGAAUUGGUGGGUAUUGUUAACUUAAACUUUCUCAAAUGGAAAAGUUGUGUAUAUAAAAAGUUUAGAUCUUGAUGAUAUCUAACAACUUGGUAUUCAAAAUUUUUUCAUUUUAAGUAAUUUUGUUUGUCAUUUGACCAAGUUUGACCAAAACCCAUCUUGGAUUUUAUAGAAAUAUGAUUAGGAUUGGCUCAAAAUUAUCCAAAUGGAAAAAUGGACAGUAUAUAAAAUGUAGAUCUUGAUGAUCUCUAACAACUUUGUAUUCAAAAUGUUUUCAUUUGAAGUCAUCAGAUGGGCCAUUUGAUCAAGUUUGACCAAAGUCAAAGCAUUGGUUUUUACAAAAACACCCUUUGACCGAACCCUAGAUUGUCCCAAAUGGAAAAGUCAUGAAUACAAAGUUCGUUACAAAGUCAAGCCGACACAAUAGUGAACUUCUUCUUGACGUCUGACCCUUGGUUAUGAUCCUGCCGUAACCAUGGAGUAUCCUCAUUGUUUAACAGAAUGCUUGGGUCUUUGUUGACUAUGAAGGGCGGAAUUCGAUCAUCCCUUUCGUAAUCGCCUGACAUGUCUGACUUGUUCUCAAUUCCGACAAUGUUUCUUUUCCCGGAAAGGACAAUGUGGCGCUUUGGCUCAUUGAUGAUUGAGUGGUCAUCAUUUUUUCCUCUCUUUGGUUUCGUAGACAUAUCUUUGACAUAGAACACCUGACUCACGUCUGCAGCAAGGACGAAUGGUUCGUCUUUGAACCCACUAUUGUUAAGGUCCACGGUUGUCAUCCCAUACUCCUUGUCGACUGUUACCCCACCUCCGGUCAUCUACACCCAUUGGCACCAGAACAAAGGAACUUUAAAAAUUAGCUACAUAGACUAGUUCCCAUAUGUCUUCUAUGUGUCCAUAAUAUGUUUGUCUGUUCCCAUUUGGAUCUGUGGCAUCCACGCGUACACCACUAUUUUGGUUGGUGCUCCUUUUAUCUUGGCCAACUGUGUAAAAUGUGUUACCAUUUAUCUCGUACCCUUUGUACGUGAGGACAUACCAUGAUGGUUGCCUGGCCAACAAAUAAAGCUGCUCAUCAAUGUUUUCAUCACCUUGACAUUUUUUGCGCAACCAAUCGCCAAAAGUUUCCAUGUGCUGACGCAUUAUCCAAGCUUCAUUCUUCCCAGGCCACUGGGACCGGAGGAAAUCUUUGUGUACCUCAACAUAUGGUUCCACCAAUGAGGAGUUCUGGAGAACUGUGUAGUGUGCUUUAUUAAAGUAAUCGUCUCCUGUACCAAUAUAUGUUUUCUUCCCAAGUGUUCCCUUUCUGCUGAGUCUGCCCUCGUGUCGAGAUUCAGGAAUACCAAUUGGGUCAAGGUCUAGAAUAAAGUCAACACAGAACUCUAUGACCUCCUCUGUUCCGUAGCCCUUGGCAAUGCUUCCUUCUGGCCGGGAACGACUAUGGACAUAUUUCUUUAGGACACCCAUGAAUAUCUCGAAGGGGAACAUGUUGUGUAGGAACACAGGACCGAGAAUACGAAUCUCUUUGAUCAGAUGAACUUGGAGGUGUGUCAUGAUAUCGAAGAAGGAUGGAGGGAACACCAACUCAAAGCUAACGAGACAUUGAACGACAUCAUUUUACAGAGUAGCUAGUUGCUCUGGAUUGAUUGCCUUUUGAGAAAUUGCAUGGAGGAAUGCACAUAGCUUUACGGUGGCUAGACGUACGUGUGGAGGUAAAAUUCCUCUUAAAACCACCGGCAGCAAUUGCGUCAUUAGAACGUGACAGUCAUGCGACUUCAAGUUCAGGAAUUUCUUUUCUAGCACAUUAAUUAUUCCCUUGAUAUUGGAGACCAAUCCAGAUGGGACCUUGAUGCUGCUUAGACAUUCAAACAUGCUUUCCUUCUCUUCUUUGCUCAGAGUGUAGCUAGCAGGGCUUAAGUAAUGGCGACCAUCAUCUGUCUUUUCUGGAUGCAGGUUGUCUCGUUCUUUCAUGCGCUGCAAGUCUUGUCGUGCUUCAAGUGAAUCCUUAGACUUUCCGUAGACACCCAUGAAUCCGAGCAAGUUCACACAAAGAUUCUUUGUCAGAUGCAUCACGUCGAUCGCGUUGCGGACCUCUAGGACAUUCCAGUAAGGUAGCUCCCAAAAUAUGGAUUUCUUCUUCCACAUGGGUACGUGUCCCUUAGCAUCCUUGGGAAUAGGUUCGCUGCCUCGUCCCUUUCCAAAUACCACUUUUAUAUCCUUGACCAUUUCGAGUACAUCAUCCCCGGUUCGAAAAAUACACAGUCAAGGUCUUCAUAACAAUGUGUGCAUGCAUUAUAUCCCUUGUUUGACUGGCCUGAAAGAUUACUCAGAGCUGGCCAAUCAUUGAUUGUUACAAUCAGCAAUGCUCGCAGGUCAAAGUGCUCUUGUUUGUACUCAUCCCACACGCGAACUCCUGGUUUGCUCCAUAAAAGUUGAAGUUCCUCAACUAAUGGCCUUAGGUAGACAUCUAUGUCAUUGCCAGGUUGCUUCGGUCCUUGGAUAAGCACCGACAUCAUAAUAAACUUCCGCUUCAUGCAUAGCCAUGGAGGAAGAUUGUAGAUACAUAGAGUAACUGGCCAAGUGCUGUGACUACUGCUCUGCUCACCGAAAGGACUCAUACCAUCGGUACUUAAGGCGAACCGCAAGUUUCUAGCAUCAUCUGCAAAAUUUGGAAAUUCUCUGUCUAUCGCUCUCCACUGGGAUCCAUCGGCAGGGUGUCUCAGCAUAUUGUCUAUCUUACGGUCUUCUUUAUGCCACCGCAAUAACUUUGCAUUGUCCUUAUUUCUGAACAGACGUUUUAAUAGUGGUAUUAUAGGAGCAUACCACAUAACCUUGGCAGGAAUUUUCUUCCUCUGACGUUCUUCACCCUCAACAUCGCCAGGAUCAUCUCGUCUAAUCUUAUACCGUGAUGCCUUACAUACUGGACAUGCAUCCAAAUUCUCGUAUUCCUCCCCACGGUAGAGGAUGCAGUCAUUAGGAUAUGCGUGUAUCUUCUGGAUUUCUAAUCCCAAAGGGCAGACAACCUGUUUUGCUUCAUACGUAGUGGUGGGCAAUUCGUUCCCUUUCGGAAGCAUCUUUUUUAUGAUCUUCAAUAACUGCCCAAAUGCCUUGUCAGAUGUACCAUUCUUUGCCUUCCAUUGCAGCAAUUCCAGUGUGGUACCCAGCUUCUUUUGCCCCUCUUCAGCGGUGGGAUAUAGCGAUUUCCUGUGGUCCUCUAGCAUGCGCUCGAACUUGGCUUUCUCUUUGUCACUUUCACAUUCUCUUUGUGCAUCACGGAUGGCAUCACCAAAAGCAUCGUCGCCCCGAUCAUCUUCUGCCGCUACCUCUUCUUCAUUAUCUUCCCCCAUUGCAACAUCAUUGAAGCCACCGUACUGAGCAAUAAUAUUGGCAUGGUCCAAUUCUUCUUCUUCUUCUUCACCUUCAUCCAUUAUAAUCCUGCUUUCUCCAUGUUUGGUCCAACAAAUAUAAUUUGGUACGAAACCAGACUUUAAUAAGUGUGAAUGAAGAGUUCUUGAGUUAGAAUAUUCUGUCAAAUUCUUGCACACGGCACAUGGACAACACAUGAAACCGUCCAUCUUAUUUGUCUCGGCCACACUUAAGAAAUAGUGCACGCCAUUAAUGAACUCUUCGGAGUGCCGAUCGGCAUUAUACAUCCAAUUAUGUGUUACCAUCUACAUUAAAUAUAACAUAUAUAUUAUGAAAACCAUGCACACAUAUAGUUUCUCAUCUUAUUGCACAACAUGUCUAAGAUACAUAGUUGAUUAAUUCAGGAAAGCUUGGCUACAACAAAUACAAUCGCAACUAGCACUAAAAAAACGAAAACUAAAAUGCACUUAAGCAACAUAAUUAGUUUGCGUCCGAUCCCAACUAUAAUAGAUAGAUCAUUCGCUUGAUCAACAUCAUUGAACUCCUUUCGUCGGCUCACUGCCUUACCACCUUCAGCCUCAACCAGUUGUGCAAAAGAUUUCUUAAUGUGUUCAAUGUAUUCUUCCUCCCAGUACCAACCUGUACAUCCGCCGGUACUGUCCCACUGAAAUUAAAAGAGAGAAUCAAAAGUUUAAUUAAUAUCAUUUAAAAAAAUAUGCACAUAUAUAGGCAAAUGUCUGGAAAUAACUCACAUUACGAUCCGGACACUUGUCGAAUAUACGACCCUUGUUUACUUCCUCUUUCGACACUUUGUACUCCAUCACAAUCUUCUGCCCACACUUGCCACAAGUAUUGAGAGGGAGUUCCGGCCGGUAUCGCUUUUGAACCCGUUGAGAGACCCAAGACCCGGUCACGGUUGCCAUCUACUAUCCAUACUCAAUUUUUAAACAAUUAUAAAUUCCACAUUUACUAGUAAACAUGUAUGAUUAAAGAAGAACCUAAUAACAUCCUUUAUUUGUCUAGUUACUUCAACAAAUCUUCUAAAUUAUACAAUGAACAUUAUGUAGUAAUAAAAAUAAAUUAAGUGAUAUUAACAAACCAAUUAAUUUGAACUAUCCUACUUUCUAAGAUCAUAAAAAGAUACUAUAAUUCAUUCUUGCAAACUACAUUAAUACUAGGUCAACCAUAAAAUAUGAUAUAUAUAUAUAUGGAUACUAAUUCAUGUGAAUGAUUCAAAAUAACAAAGUGGAUUUGAGCUAAAAAUGAUGAGAACAUCACAAGCCAAAAACAACAUGAAAAAGACAAUAAAUGCUAAAGUUAGUCACCUCCAAGCACGAAGAGACGAUGACGGAGUCGAAGAAGAUCAACGAUGGGCGUCAGAAAUGAAGAACAAAUGAAGAACAAGCAAGAAGAAGCUCCAAGAACAACAAUGGUGCUCUCGGUUUCAAAUGGGCAGAGGGGAGGAGGGAGCCGGCCUAUAAACCGGACCUUUAGCACCGGUUCAGGGAAAAAACCGGUGCUAAAGGGUCACCCUUUAGCACUGGUUUGUGUUACAAACCGGUGCUAAAGACUUUGCCUCGGCCCGUGGCACUGGCCGGUGCUAAAGGGGACCCUUUAGUACCGGUUGGUAACACGAACCGGUGCUAAAGGGUCCCGGCCCCGACGGCACCUGUCAGUAGCCGUUGGGCAGGACCCUUUAGCACCGGUUCGUGUUACGAACCGGUGUUAAAAGGGUCUUUAACCCCGGGCCGCAAAAAGGCCGAGAUUUUUGGCCAUUUUGGACAUCGACCAAUGCCCUCAUUCUGUAGUAGUGAAACAAUUCAAAUUCAAAUCCAUGUACGAAUGUCUAUUUGAUUUUUUAAAACCUCAGGCUUGGUUGAAGCCCUUUUGAUUUGGACAGAUUCAGCCGAAUCAUUGAGGCACCUAAACUUUGAGAAAAUCUGGCAGGGGAUCAGCCCAAACGUGAUACAGAUCCAGGUCUCAACUAUGUGAUAUAUAUGCAUGAGACAUCUACGUACAGAAUUUUCCUGCACUAUCCUUCGACAAGGAAUCUAGAUCUUGGAGUAGAAUUGUAGAGUCGGAUUCUAGUUGGAUGCUUGAGAUGCCCAACACCAAUGCUUAAAAGAGUCCUUUCAGGCUGGCCAUAGCUUCAGCUAUCACUUUAUCAUGAACUGCCGACAAAUUCCAUUAGGGCUUUACGCUAUGCAUGCUUUACUGAUUCCACUUCUUUCAAAUUAGUUUUCACUUUUUUCUCUCUAGAUAUAUGUGCCCUCAGCAAGAUUAAAUGGUGCCAUAUGGAAAGUUCAUCAUUUUUUUGCGAGACCCAGUUACAAACGCAGACACUCGCAGACACGAGCACUUCCGAAGAACUGAGUUGAAUUGACAAAUCUCGAGAUUGAUAAAGAACCGAGUUGGAUUGGCAAAUCUCGAGAUUGAUGAAGUCACCACAGGCGCCUCGCUGUCGAGCAUAAUGCCGUUAAAUCCUGAAAUAAAUUCAUAAAAAUACGUGUAUCCAUGUUAAGUCGGAGACUUGAACCCGGGUAGGCAGAGGAACCAACCAGCUGAUCUAUGAUUAGUUCAUGGAAAAUUCGUCAUUUAUCUAUAGGUUAAAAUACAUAUAAUGGUACAUCCAAUAUUAUGUUUGAAAUUAACAACAUGCAGUCAUACACAAUAAAGGCGAUGGGAUUUUUGUCAAUCUGCUGUAGUAGCACUCUCCUAUAAUCUCAGAUCCUGUUUUCUCAAUCCCCUGUAGGAUAUUUUGAAUGAAAUGUGUUAUCCGGUAGAGAUGCUCUUACGUGGGGCAGUAGUUUUUUUAGGUGCGACGAUUUUUGGGUCAUUUAUUUUGUUUAUGUCAUAAACUCAUUGAGAUCGUACUGCCUCUUUUUCUAUCAGAACUGCAAAAGUGAAAUAAAAUGUGUCUUAUUCUUGAUAUAUGUAAUGCAAAAGUUGAAAUGCUAGGCUGUGCCUCGCCUUCUCUGACGUGAGAAAAAAAUCAAUGUGGACACACAAUGCUCAAUGUACAAUAAGAUAAUUUCAUUUGUUGAAAUUAGAGCUGCCCGAAUCUCAUGUCUCUAUAAUGAUGUUUAUAUCUACUAGUACAUCCUCUAUCGGGCUAGACUAUCCACUCACAUCAUCGUCUCAUAUUCUUGAAGCGGUUUACAGAGGCUAACGUUCAUCUUUCUUCAGGUGGGAUAUUUCUUUAGAAAAGGUAAUUCUUUGAACCUACACAUACUACAGUGUAGCGAUAGCUAGCUAGGUUUGUGAAAACCAUGAUGUGUUGUUGGUAUUAGUAAAAGCUCAAGAACUGCGGCUUUAACAUCUACAAACUUAGAGGGAAUCAUGAUGAUAUAUAUGCUACUGAGUACUGACUACCAUCCAAGUAACAAAUAAUAAAGCUAGCUAAAUGUGCUGGAUGCAAGAUUUGUACCUGAUUGCCCAUGAACAGUGGGAUUAGAUUGUCUCAACGGCUAGAUAUAUUGCCUUUUUCAUUCUAGCUGCAGGUGGUAUGCCUGGAACCACCUGAAGCAAGUUAUAAAAUUGUAGGAUUCCAGCAAGUUGGAUUCAUUUUUCUAAUUCAUGAUGAUCAGACAGUGUCUUUCUUCAGGUGGUAUUUUUCUUCAAAAAAAAUAAUUCUUUCGAACCUAAAGUAGCAAAAAAAAUUAUGGUGUUUUUUUAGGGAAAUUUAGAAGUAAUCAAGGCAUACUUUUGUCUACUUUUGGGCUUCCGUGAACGAACAUCCUUUUUUCUCAAUAAAACUGACAAGGUUGUCAAAGUUGUUCAAAAGUAAUGGCAGCGUGAACUUAUCAUGAAGUUUUAAAAAUACGUGAUGAUCAAGUGAUGUAUGCGGCAAAUGGCCAUAUUGGCUAAUAUAGAGAUAUUAUCGAACGACAUGCAGUUCAGUGUGAUGAUUAUAUAAUGGCACGCUCAUACUAAAAUCUUAUAUAUUGUGUUUUCUUAUUACAUGACUAUCCAUUAUCGGAGUUGGCCACUGAAUUUUGUUAGUGCUCAUGAUAUACAUGCAUUUAGUUCUGCAUAUUUUGUACCUGAAUCAGUAAUGAAAAUUAUUAUUUUCUAGGGUCUAAGUUUUACACAUAGGUUGAUAGGCAUAUAUCAAGUACAACUGGAGAGUAGUGUGUCAAAUUGUGUUUUAGUGUUCAGGAUGUGAUUAGUAACAGGUGAAAUAUUGUAAAUGAAUGGCUAUGUGUGGUGGUAGAGAAUGGCAAAAAUUUCGUUUUCUAUAAGAAAAAGAAACCAAGAAAGUUUUUUUUGAGAACAUGUGGACGAUUGGCAUGCAUUCAGUAGAUGCGUUGUUUUAAGUGUCCAAUAACUAAAGCGUGCAACAAAAUUGGUAGAGUCUUGGACUUGGUCUAUUACUUGGCUUUGUUUACAAAUCAUGACAACUUAUUUCAUGCAUUACAACCAUGUUUUCUUAGACGAGAAAUCGCCAAUUAAAUCUUAAGCUGUAUGAGCACCUAAUUUUUGAUUCAGAACCCAAAAUAUUAACAUGGAAAAUGUUCUCAAAUAAUAUAAAUUUUACAAUGCAAAAUUUUGUCAUUGGAUACAUGUUUUAACAGACCCAUGCGUUGUAUGUUGAAAAAUAAUAGAGGAACGAAUAGGAAACAAUAUACAUAUGUGUAAUCAUACAUCUGAAUGACAAGUAUUACCCUAAAGUUCUAGACAUGCAAAGUGUGUGUUUGGUGCGCGUGCCAUCAAGUAGUUGUCGUGAUACUGGUGACAUAAUUAUAUCAUCUAUCUUAUUUGUCUGUCGGAUGUAUCAAAAUAUUAUACAUAUGCAUUGUGAUUCUUCUUCAAAAAGCGAAGUGCGCGUGCAGAAAACCCACUACCCUAUUUGGGAGAUUGAUACUCUUUUUGUCAAGUAAUAACAACCAAUAUCUCUCCAUUUAAAUCUCUAAUUGCGGGACGGCUUCCCAAACUUGGUUCCCAUACAAAUAGGAACUACGAUAUUGUCAAUUAAUAUCAAAAUAUAGUGGGUAAAGAUUGGAGUCCAAUCUCUAACCAAUUCAUGUUUACAUAAAAUUAUUGAACUAACAUAAAAUCUUCAUUGUCCAAAUAAAUAGUAAACCCUACCCUAUCUCUAGCUACCUAGGUAGCAUUAGUCAGUCAUCAAGCUGUUAAUGUAACUAACAAAAAAUUAAAAAUUUCAUAACUAAAACCAAUACAUUUUAAGAAAUAAUUGCCAAUAUCCAACUCACAAAAAACAAUAUUAUGUUAAUCUUCUCUCUCUCUCUCUCUCCUCCAUACAUAUAUCUUGAUAUAGACCUAGUUCAAGAUCCAAAAUGAGUACCUAUUUGAAAAUGAACUAGUUCACCAUAAAUAUCAUGACACUGGGGGGCAAGAAAAUGGGAGAAUCUUGUUCACGUACUCAAUCUAUACUCUUGUGCCUUAAGAUUUGAUCUAUUUUCAUGUCUAGUUGCACACCACCAUUCCUUCAGAGUGGUUUGUAAGACCAGCUACCCAAAAAAAUCAAUUUCUGGGUUUGGUCCAUUGGCCAGGGAUUUUUAGAAGUGUUUCUAGAGGUUGUUCUUGAUCUAGCUGGCAAUGAAAAAAAUACGGUGUCUCUGAAAAUAGUUUCUAUAAUAGUGCACCAUUUGCAUGCUGUCCUUGCAUAAGGAAUAAAUCUUGAAGCGAUAGUAAAAAAAAUAUCAAUGUAAGCAUACUUUUUGAAAGAACAUAAGCAUACUUUUCAUUAUACUAUAAAAAAUAGUUAUCACAUUGGAAGCCACUCGCUCUGAUAUAUGUUAAUGUGUUUCUGAAAAGAAAAUUAAUUGUCUAGUACUUGGUCUACCUUACUAGAUGGCGAUUAGUCUUUCUUCCGGUGGUAUAUUUAUUCAAAAGAAAUAAUUCCUUUGAACCUAAUGUAACAAAAGAUCAUGGUGUUUAUAGGUGUUAGUGAAGUUUCAUGGUCUACAGUUCUAGCAGCUAAAAUUUAGAAGUAAUCAUGGUAACACUUUUGUCUACUUUUGGCGUUGCGUGUAUGAACAGCCUUUUUCCUCUGUGAAACUGACAAGGUUGUCUGAAUAAGUUCUCCUCAAUAUUUAAUUUGUUUCUUCAAUUUUAAGAUUCCCACGGACAAUAAAACUGCUCCAAAGUGAUGACAGCCUGAAAUUUUCAUGAAUGUAAAUGACGUUAAAAAUAAGUGUUAUAAGAAUACGAUGAUCAAGCUAUGUAUGCAGCAGAUGGCCAUAUAUUGGCUAGUUGUAGACAUUAUGGAAUGUCAUACAGUCUAGUGUGAUCAAUACAUAAUGGCAAGCUAAUACUUAAAUUGUGGUCUAAUCUUAUUUAUUAAUUUUCUUAUUGCAUGACUGUCCAACAUUUAUUGGAGUUUCGUUGGCCACCGAAUUUUCAUGGUGCUUAUGAUACAUCCUUGAACUCUGCUCAUUUUGUAUCUGGAACAAUAAAGGGAAAUAUUAUUUUGACAAAUCUAAUAAGUUUUAGGUAUAUAUCAGUUAAAAUGGGAAAGUUACUGUUGAAAUGUGUUUCAGUGUGGAGGAUGUGAUUAGCUUAUGAAAUCUUGUAAAGACAUGGCUAUGUGUGGUCACAAGGCUAGCUGGAAACAAUUCCAUUUCAUAAAAAAAUAAAAAUAAAAAAAGGGAAAAAGAAAGAUUUUUGAGAACAUGUGAUUGCAUGGCAUGCAUUCACUAGAAGUGUUUUAUUAAAUAUCCAUUCACUAGAAGGUUGAUACCAAAUCAGUAUACACACACACAUAUGCAUGUUGAUGUAUAUGUAUGAGAAGUAUUUCCAUAAAAUUGUAGACAUCGAAAGUGUGUGUUUGGUGCGUGUGCCAUCAAGUUGACAUCAUGUUAUUGGCGACAUAAUUAUAUCAUCCGUCUUACUUGUGUGUCAGACAUAUCAACAUAUUCGGUGGGCUUAUUGUAAUUCUUAUUCACAAGUUGAAGUGCGCGUGCACAAAACCCACUACCCGAGUUGGGAGGUUGAAUCUUAUUAUCGCGGUAAUGACAACUAGUCUUAUCCUAGAUGUACCAAUAGUUGUAUCCCAUCCAUAUAUUCCAAUCUAGGAGGUGAUUACAAGAUAAACCACUUACCAUCUUCAUCUAUUUGCCUAGAUAUCUUAUUUUUCAAACAUCUUCCCUUGUCUUAGGUCACAGCUCAAAAAAAUGACAGUUCAUUUGAAUCACUUUUCCAUUUGAUUUUAAAUAAUAUACAUCCUGCCCUAUCCAAAUUCUUGUGACAUGAAGAAAGAAAAGCAAUAUAAACAUAUAUUUUUCUCUGUUUAGAGGACAAGGCGUACUAGUUGAUGGUUGUAGUAGAUAAAUUUGCAAGUGGCAAGCGUACAAUUAUUUGAUCUGGUAUUUUGUGGAUGCAUUUGUGGGCUCCUAAUUAUCAAAACUGGUAGUGCAACAUGAGCUGCAAGCUUGACAAUUUCUUUAUCAGAAGCUUCGGAUAUGUUACUUCAUCCAUUACUACAGAAUUGGCAAUCACAAAUGGAGUAUAACUGCCGGUUGUUUUUGAACCUGCAUUAAUAGAGUGUCACUACUGGUUCAUGACUUCAACCAGCAAUGAUACAGGUCGACACUGAUAGGCGGACUAUCAUUGCCAGUUUGUGGCUUGAAGAACCGGCAGCAAUAGCUGCUUUGCACAAAAAAAUCAUAACCUUUUUAUCUGAGGUUGGAUUAAGACAAAUUAUAUAUAAAAAAUAUAGAGUUUAAGAGAUCUUAAACUUUCUUGUUGAUCACUUUUUAAUUUGAGAUGGCUUACGAGUCUAAAUAUUUAAUAUAAGUCCUCAAAUCAGAUUUAACAUGCUUAACAAUGUCAAAUAGAGACCAAGUCAACAUAAAAUUUGUAGUACUCGAUGAGAUCUACAACUUUGCAGUUAAUAAAAUUUGUGUGAAAGAUUCUUUUGUGACAAAUAUAUAAUAUAAGAUUGAAAAAUAUGUGGUUAAAUGAAUAGCGCCUGCUAUAUAAUUGCAUGUUGUCACGUAGCUCGGUAUGUGGGUUCGAGGGAACAUGAACAUCGAGGUUUCGAGUUUGAAUCCUGAAAACUAUAUCUUUUUGUCACCUGUCACUGCCGGGUGAUGAGGGGUUGAGACAUGGUAGUGAUGGUCAAUUCUGCGGUAGUGGUCAUGGUUUGGAUACAUUUCUUUAUGGAUCAGUUAGGUUUCUAUAAGUUUUUUUUUAGUUUAGAUUAGGUCACUUAGUUCACUACGAGGACAAAAUAUUGCAACUUCCAAUAUUUGUGUCUUUUGAUUUAUUGCAACUUCCAAUAUUUGUGUCUUUUGAUUUCUACUAUCAAGAAGCAUGAAUUUCUAUGAAUCCCAGUGUGUUGAAUCAAUUAAGCACUUGUUUUUUAUGAAUGUCGUCUUGCCUAAGCUAUUUGGUCAGUAAUUUAAGUGGUUUCAUGUCUGUCUAAACCUCACAGCAUAUCACGUAGGUUUAGCAUUUGGUAAGGGGGCCUUAGAAAAUAUCUGAAGCUGAAGUCACUAGCCCUGCUAGGAGUUGCUACUACUUGUUAGUCACUCUGGCUUAGGAGGAACAACAUAAGUUAUAAAAAAGAAUAAAUUCUCUCCUUUGCAAGUCACCGAAUUAGUUACGCAUUGACUACAUAUAUAUGCUGUUCUCCAGAAGCAUGUCUUAUACGAUUUGCAUGUGGAGGCUUUGCAGUAUAUAGGGUGCCCAAUGUUAUCCUGUCCCUGUUACAUUUUUUUUUUAGAUAAGAUCCUGUCCCUGUUACAUGGGUGGAUGUAGCAUAUAUAAUGGACUAAUUGUCAACACAGGGAUUAUAGGUGUGUGUUGUUUAAUUUUGUAGCUGUGUGUUUCUAGAUAAGGAGAGGUCAGGAGGUCUAUUUUCAAUCCUUAUUGCCAUGCGCCAUGGCUGCGUUUAUUAUUACCAUGACAAUAUAGAACUGCUUUAUAAACAUGUACAAUACAAUGGCAGAAUGGCCGGUGUAAUAAUGACUAAUCUGGCAUUCUUGUCUCGAGAGAAUAAAGCUUGUGGUUUCAAAAAUCGAAAAGGGAUGGAAGGUAGACUCUUUUGGGCAUAAAAAUAAGCGCGCUCAGCAAUCAGCAUAUAGACACCACCCUUUUGCUGCCCUCUGAUCGCUAUGACAUAUGCUACUGCUAAUCAUUUCAUUCCUGUCAGGCGUCCCUUGGAAAAUGGGUGUGGUUAUUUACUGAAAAGCAUGUUCAUUUAUCUGUACGUUAUUAUGUCUACGUGGUUCAUGUCAAUCAUAGAUUACAGAGGCACUGCAAAGGCUGUAACAACCGACAUGCUUUUUCAGUAAAUGUUCGUUACACAAAUACUGCAAGUAAUGCAGAAAGCCAAAGAAGCUUUGAACGGAAGUUGUUGCAUGGACUUUGUUGGUGAAAGUUAGGACACGUGUUAGAACCUGACACCCCGUAGUUAUGCACUAGCAGCACUCGGAUGUUCAAUAAAAUAGUAGUAUGAUGCAAGCUUACAUUGUACUGUAUCGAGAAGGGCUAAGAUGAAUCGCAUUCAGUUUCCAUUUCUAAUAGAGGCAGUUGACUUAGGAAACCAUCACUAACCUUAGCAGGAGCCGUUGGAAAUCAAUUUUCAGGAGUGAUUUCAUUAAGAAAUUAAGUAAUGGAUUCUAUUAAGAUAACUGCCCCUAGAAAUAGGAUUUUUGGGGAUGGACGUCUUUAUCAAACCAUCUCUAGAAGAGCCAGAGUUUCAAAGAUGGUUCUCUUAAGAGAACCUCGUAUGGAAUCUAAUAAUAGGUGCGGUGCUCUAGAAUUGGUGGCAUAGCAUCGAUUUUGUAAACCGGCCUUUAAGAUCCUUUUUUUACAUUAGCAAAAUAAUUUCUUUUGCAAGGGUUCUCAUUACUGAUUGGUACCUUGAACCAUCAGUGGUAGCUUUUCACACUAUUGCUUUAUGACCUAUAGCAGCAAUAGUAGGAGGAGCCAUCGGUCCCGGUUGCCCACCGCACGCUGACACCAAUUGUCGCAAUAGUAGUGCUAUGGAUCCAUCAGUCCUGGAUGGUUGUGUAUUAGUGCAGCGUAAUGCGCCAAGACCUAUUAUCACGUAAUGGCUUGCAGCACCACAACCCCAGUUGGAUAAUAUCGUGAGCAUCAUAUUCACCUAAACAGCUACUUUUCUAUUAAUAUCGCUAUAUAUAGAUGCCCAAGUGUAUCUUUGGUUAUCAACAACACAAGCUCUCAAGUAAUCAGCUAUCAGGGGUGAGUCCUUUUCUCUCUGCAAGCUCAUCGGUUUUAUUUUGUUCGGUAAGAUUCAAUAUGCAAUUCCAUUUCAUUGUUUCUGAAAUUGAAGCCUAACAUGUACACAUGCAUCUAACAUAUACUCAGAUGAAGCCUGCAACGGUGGCACUGCUCAUUUUGAUGAACAUGAUGUGCACUAUCGGAUACUUUGAUCAUGCAAGUUUUCUUGGAACUAAGGCCCAAGAAACCACCUUGCUGGCAAAUUCAUACGGAAACAACGAAGAAACUGGUUCUACGAAGGGCACAAAUCUUAGAAGGAAACUGGUGGUGACGGAGCACCAAUGGUCUCCAAGAGAUAUCUGCUGCAAUACAAUGUCCUCCAAUUCUUGCAAACAGCAAUAUAAUUGUUAGAGAUAUAUAUGCUUGCAUUCCUAUGCAUAUGGAGGACACGGUAUAUAUAUGUUGCGUCAGCAGUUUCUCAAGUCCCUUGUAUUAUCUAGGUGGUGACCUAUCUAAAUAAUCUCUGGGGCCGUGAAAUGCCGUGUAGUAUUGUACUGAGCGUACGCUCAAUAUUAAUCAAUAAAUUAAAACAAGACCUGUGUGUGAUAAUAAUUCACUCAGAUAAACCCAU